AUUCCAGCUCCAAUAGCGUAUAUUAAAGUUGUUGCAGUUAAAAAGCUCGUAGUUGGAUUUCGGAAUGGGCCAGUUGGUCCGCCGCAAGGUGAGUUACUGACUGGUUUGUUCUUCUUCGCAAAGACUGCGUGUGCUCUUUACUGAGUGUACGUAGGAUUUACGACGUUUACUUUGAAAAAAUUAGAGUGUUCAAAGCAGGCUAUCGCUUGAAUACAUGAGCAUGGAAUAAUGGAAUAGGACUUUGGUUCUAUUUUGUUGGUUUCUAGGACCGAAGUAAUGAUUAAGAGGGACAAUUGGGGGCAUCCGUAUUUCGUUGUCAGAGGUGAAAUUCUUGGAUUUACGAAAGACGAACAACUGCGAAAGCACUUGCCAAGAGUGUUUUCAUCA
rnacentral:rRNA from 1 species